GUGGCACUGGCUUGAGGCGGGGGAGCGGCUGAUGCAGGGUUGGAUCGAGGCAUGGGAGCGACGGAUGCGGGCGUCGACCUGCGAAGAGGCGAGAGGAGCGGUGGUUGCGGCGUUGAGCUGCGAAGAGGUGCCGCUCGGGCGCGAGACCACAGAGGCGGGAGCGGCUGCUUCGGGCCCCGGCCGUCUCAUUCACCGAUGACGGCCUCCUUGGCCUCAACAUCAAGGGCCGCCUUCUCGCAGAGAAGAACUUCAAGCUGGUACAGUAGAAUCACUGCCCAUUCCCCCAACCAUCAGCAUUUGCCUUCAUGGCCAUAACCAUCUUGAUUUUGUAUUACCUGUACCUAAACCUGAACCUUGUCGUUCCUCUAUUCCUGCCUGCCUGCAGAAGAGGAAGAGCGGCGCCGUCGAGUUCGCCUAGACCAUACUCGACUUCAGAAAGGGCCAAGACGUCAGGAUCAAGGCCGGAUACGAGCUCUAUCGCAAGGUACAAAGCUGAAAUGCUUGAUGAUGCGCCUCGUAUAUUCGAGGCUGUUUUCCAGUGUACCCUUGAGUUCUGCACUAUGCUCUGCUGGAUGUCGCCUAAGCAGAGGAUGCGGCAGUCUCGGCCACAUUUGGUUUUCCUAAGCUAAUGUGGGGUUUCUUUCCCUUAUAUUCUUGCAAGAUGUGGUAAUAUGUUUCAUGCCGUCUCCUGUUCGAUGAAAUGCCUGUGAGCUGAAACAUUUUGCAUUGCAUGUUUCUCUGCCUGUGCAGGUUCUUUGUUGGUUCGUUCGACCAUGCCGUUAACCAACAAGGUUAGGUCUAUUCAGAUUGCCUUGGGUUAUUACUUCUUGAUAAUAUAGGCCGUGAACUCCUGCAUUUGUGCGGCUAGGUUGCCUGUCUAUGUGUUUCGGGGUUCACCUUAUUAUGCUUGUCGUGCUUUGUAUGGGUUUUCCUUCAGAUCUUGUUAGAAAAAAAAUGUGUUCUUGAUUACUUAUGCUUGUCUUGGUGGUUUUCUUCCUGGGUGAUUGUGUGCUCAUAUGCCAUUGGUCGAUAUCCAUGUUUACAGAGGAUGCCCACUUUUCUUAGUUUCAUACCGAUUCUUAAUAGUCUUGCAAUGCCUGCUCGGGUUAGUUCUUUAAAUGAGUAGAGAUAAUAAAUGUAUGGGGGUUCCGAUAUCAAAUGUACCACCUGGUUAUUGUUUACCCAACUAAUACGUGCUGCUUGGUGAUAAAGGAAAAACAGCUAGAAAAAUAAUUAAUAAAGUGUACCAUCUGCUUAUUGUUUUAUACACAGUCGCUUGAUUCUUUUGUUCCUCUAUAGGCCUCUGAUCAUGUCUGCAGUGUGCGGCUAGGUUGUUCGUCCGUCUGGGUCGUAGCUUCUUUCCUUCCUGCCAACGGCGGGUACAAGACUCGAGCGGUUAAUGGGCAAGCACUAUAUGCACCAUUCAUCUAUGCUAAUAUAGCCUGUUUUGUAAAGCCAAUGUAUGCUAUCACCAAGUGAUCUGAAUAUUUUCUUUCAAGCAUCAAGCUUUCGUGUAAUGGAAUAUAAGUAUUUUAAGUUGAUUCUAAAUCAAUCUC
rnacentral:rRNA from 1 species